AGUGAACGCUGGCGGUAGGCCUAACACAUGCAAGUCGAACGGCAGCACAGUAAGAGCUUGCUCUUACGGGUGGCGAGUGGCGGACGGGUGAGGAAUACAUCGGAAUCUACUUUUUCGUGGGGGAUAACGUAGGGAAACUUACGCUAAUACCGCAUACGACCUACGGGUGAAAGCAGUGGAUCUUCGGACCUUGCGCGAUUGAAUGAGCCGAUGUCGGAUUAGCUAGUUGGCGGGGUAAAGGCCCACCAAGGCGACGAUCCGUAGCUGGUCUGAGAGGAUGAUCAGCCACACUGGAACUGAGACACGGUCCAGACUCCUACGGGAGGCAGCAGUAGGGAAUAUUGGACAAUGGGCGAAAGCCUGAUCCAGCCAUACCGCGUGGGUGAAGAAGGCCUUCGGGUUGUAAAGCCCUUUUGUUGGGAAAGAAAAGCAGCAUGUUAAUACCCCGCUGUUCUGACGGUACCCAAAGAAUAAGCACCGGCUAACUUCGUG
rnacentral:rRNA from 1 species